UAGCUAGUAGGUGGGGUAAAGGCUCACCUAGGCGACGAUCCCUAGCCGGUCUGAGAGGAUGACCAGCCACACUGGAACUGAGACACGGUCCAGACUCCUACGGGAGGCAGCAGUGGGGAAUAUUGCACAAUGGGCGCAAGCCUGAUGCAGCCAUGCCGCGUGUAUGAAGAAGGCCUUCGGGUUGUAAAGUACUUUCAGCGGGGAGGAAGGGAGUAAAGUUAAUACCUUUGCUCAUUGACGUUACCCGCAGAAGAAGCACCGGCUAACUCCGUGCCAGCAGCCGCGGUAAUACGGAGGGUGCAAGCGUUAAUCGGAAUUACUGGGCGUAAAGCGCACGCAGGCGGUUUGUUAAGUCAGAUGUGAAAUCCCCGGGCUCAACCUGGGAACUGCAUCUGAUACUGGCAAGCUUGAGUCUCGUAGAGGGGGGUAGAAUUCCAGGUGUAGCGGUGAAAUGCGUAGAGAUCUGGAGGAAUACCGGUGGCGAAGGCGGCCCCCUGGACGAAGACUGACGCUCAGGUGCGAAAGCGUGGGGAGCAAACAGGAUUAGAUACCCUGGUAGUCCACGCCGUAAACGAUGUCGACUUGGAGGUUGUGCCCUUGAGGCGUGGCUUCCGGAGCUAACGCGUUAAGUCGACCGCCUGGGGAGUACGGCCGCAAGGUUAAAACUCAAAUGAAUUGACGGGGGCCCGCACAAGCGGUGGAGCAUGUGGUUUAAUUCGAUGCAACGCGAAGAACCUUACCUGGUCUUGACAUCCACGGAAGUUUUCAGAGAUGAGAAUGUGCCUUCGGGAACCGUGAGACAGGUGCUGCAUGGCUGUCGUCAGCUCGUGUUGUGAAAUGUUGGGUUAAGUCCCGCAACGAGCGCAACCCUUAUCCUUUGUUGCCAGCGGUCCGGCCGGGAACUCAAAGGAGACUGCCAGUGAUAAACUGGAGGAAGGUGGGGAUGACGUCAAGUCAUCACGGCCCUUACGACCAGGGCUACACACGUGCUACAAUGGCGCAUACAAAGAGAAGCGACCUCGCGAGAGCAAGCGGACCUCAAUAAAGUGCGUCGUAGUCCCGGAUUGAAGUCUGCAACUCGACUCCAUGAAGUCGGAAUCGCUAGUAAUCGUGGAUCAGAAUGCCACGGUGAAUACGUUCCCGGGCCUUGUACGCACCGCCCGUCACACCAUGGGAGUGGGUUGCAAAAGAAGUAGGUAGCUUAACCUUCGGGAGGGCGCUUACCACUUUGUGAUUCAUA
rnacentral:rRNA from 1 species